CAUUGUGAUUUGUUUGUUUACUCAACAGAGAAAACCACAGUCAUAACUGUCGCCAUCAUUGCUGCAGCCAUUGUUCUUGCUCUUGUCCUCGUUGCUGUGAUUGGAUUCUUCAUUUACAAACAGAAGAAAGCCAAGCGCCCUCCAUCUCCUGUGAUCAACCCUGAGGUCAUGGAGCAACUGAAUCCACAAGCCUAAAUGACGACAACACGACCCUGAACACAGUUCAUGGAUAGAUUUUGGACUCCAUUGAGGACUGAUGCCACCAGAUUCUCCUCUUUUAAUCCGGGAAUUCAUUGGUUAUUCAUCAUUCAUAUCAUAAACAGAAUCAGGGUUGUGAAUCUAGUGAUAGAUGCUUAUUGAUUGAAAGACAAGAAAA